rnacentral:rRNA from 1 species
AAUUUUGGCCAAUGGGGGAAACCCUGAUCCAGCCAUCUCGCGUGUAUGAGUAAGUCCUUCGGGUUUUAAAUUCCUCUUUGCAUAGAAGAAAAGGUACCUCCUAUUACGAGGUACUGCUGACGGUAUCUCCAGACGAAUCACCGGCUAACUACGUGCACGCAGCCACGGUAAUACGUAGGGUGCAAGCGUUAAGCGGAAUUACUGGGCGUAAAGCGUGUGUAGGCGGUUCGGAAAGAAAGAUGUGAAAUCCCAGGGCUCAACCUUGGAAAUGCAUUUUUAACUGCCGAGCUAGAGUAUGUCAGAGGGGGGUAGAAUUCCACGUGUAGCAGUGAAAUGCGUAGAUAUGUGGAGGAAUACCGAUGGCGAAGGCAGCCCCCUGGGAUAAUACUGACGCUCAGACACGAAAGCGUGGGGAGCAAACA